ACCGGAAGCGCCUAGAGUCGGCCGCGGGGGGAGGUUGUCACCACCCUGCGGUUUGCACCUCGGUAUGCGGGUGCUUGGCGGUCUCGGAUAAGCCUUUGGACCGCGUGUUGCCGUUUGCAAAACGACUGCGUUCCAACAGAGGUUUUUCCAGAAUUCGUCUAGCUAAUAUAUCUUAUCUUGGCAGACACAGUUCUUGCUGUGCCAGUCCAUGUGUUAAACCCUGUGUCCUGGAUUUAGGGCUCCGGGAAGAACAAACAAUAAAACCUCGUUAUAUUUGUACGCUGUUCAUCUUAAUCCCAACUUCAUAUUACAUUCUUCCUGUAGUAUUUGUAAUCCACGAUGGACAGUGCCUGGCAUGCAGCAAAAAGUCCACAAAACUUGGCUGUUAUUAUUUGAUUGUCCAGAAGCCUCUGUUCCAGUUUGGGCCAAACUGCACCAGAGCAAAGUUACGUCACAGGAAAGUGAAGGUGGAAACUUAGGAGACUCCACGAGCUUUGUUUUUACAUUGACUCGGAUUGUGUUUUCCCCAUCACUACAUCUAGCACAGAUCUUUUAGCCUGAUCUCUAGAGAUACGAGAGUAAAGAAGUGACUCUUCAGAAAAGUGUUUGACAUGUCAAGGACUAUUUACGACCAGCCUUAUUAUUUACUAACAGACUGCAUGGAACCUGGGAAUAAGACGUCAGGGCUGCAGAGAGGACCAGGAAACUGGGAGACCCCAUUGGACAAAGAACAUUCCAGGAGAAGGCCACAAUGCCCAGCAGCACGGCAGGCACUGAGUGAGUCCAAGCUUUUGGCAGCGACACUGGAAAUGACUGUAAACACCCCGUCUGAACCCCCAUGGGCUUCCGUGUGGCUACUUCCUCGUUGUGUCACUGUCUCAUCAUCCUAGGUCUAGUCUCUCUCCUGCAAAGUCUUAACUUUUAUUGUUUGUUUUGGUUUAGGUUUUGGAUUCCUUUCAUCAUCAUGUCACUCUACCAAUCAUUUAAAUACAUCAUCACAUUUAAUCCAAUGAACUCUGGAACCUAAGAAUCACUGGCCCCAUUUUGUAAGUAAUGCAACUCAGGUUCAGAGAAGUUAAGUAUUUUGAUAAAGGUCACACAGCUAGUAAGUUGCAAAGAAUCACUGUGAAAUUUGAGCUGACUUCAAAACCCAUAUCUCUAACUACUAAAUCGUACACUCUUAUAAUUUUUCCUCCAGGUGACAGUCUGAUUAAUCUUCCUAAAGUAGCCUGGGGAUUAUGUCAAUGACUUCUUUGUGACUGAAUUUUAAACCUUCAAGUAUGCAUUUGUAACUUGUUAAUCAGACAGCCAAGGCCCAGUACCCAUUGGUUGUAGCCUACGAUUUCAAUGUUUCCGUCACAAACAGUAUGUUCCAGCUGCUGGGAUUCACUGUUUCCGCUGCGAUUCUCCCCCUCAUCUUAGCUGAAGGAACAAGUCACCUUCCUAUAGGCAGAGGGGAAUGGCAUUCAGUCAUUACGAGGAAAGACACGGAAAAUGCCAGUGAACUGGGCCCAUCUAGGUGAUCCCAAUACUGGGAAAGAAGUUGAUGGUCCUUCAAUUCAAAAGGUAACGGGGAGAGAACAGUUGUAAUUAAAAGCUGAUUGCGUUUUGGGUCUGAUGUGGUUCAUUCAUUCAUUCAGUAUGUAUUUCCUGAGUGCUUGCCCUGGACCCGUCACUGUACUGGGUGCAAGGAAAGGAUUGUGAUGACAAGAGGGUAUGUUUAACCUUCAGUAUGGUAAGGGAAGAUGGACCAAUAAGCACAGAGGUGAU